rnacentral:misc_RNA from 1 species
GAUGAAGAACGUAGUGAAAUGCGAUAAGUAAUCUGAAUUGCAGAAUUCAGUGAAUCAUCGAAUCUUUGAACGCACCUUGCGCCCUUUGGCCAUUCCGAAGGGCAUGCCUGUUUGAGUAUCAUGAACACCUCAACUCUCAUGGCUCGCCAUGAUGAGCUUGGAUUUGGGGGUCUUGCUGGCCUGUGGUCGGCUCCUCUCAAAUGGAUCAGCUUGCCAGUGUUUGGUGGCAUCACAGGUGUGAUAACUAUCUGCGCUUGUGGUUUUCCAUCAGAUAACCUUCAGUGAUGGAGGUUCGCUGGAGCUCAUAAACGUCUCCCCUAAGCGGGGACAGCCCUUUGAAUGUUUGAUCUCAAAUCAGGUAGGACUACCCGCUGAACUUAAGCAUAUCAAUAAGCGGAGGA